rnacentral:lncRNA from 13 species
CAUCCAGGGCUCACACUUAUUCAGAGAUGCAGGGUUUUGACUGCAGACAUUCAUUAAAAUGCUCAGUGUUCUUUUUUUCUUUUCUUUUCUUUUCUUUUUUUUUUUGAGGCAGAGCCUUGCUUCGUUACCAGGCACCAGGCUGAAGUGCAGUGGCACAAUCUCGGCUCACUGCAACCUCCACUUCCCGGAUUCAAGCAAUUCUUCUGCCUCAUCCUCCCGAGUACCUGGGACUAGAGCCCUGGUUCCUUAUUCCUUGAAUUUCUUUAGGCAGUACAUUUUCAUUGUAUUGAGCAGCAGAGACUGGACAUCUCCAACUGCAGCCAAAUUCUACAAAUCAUCAAGAAAACAGUUUGCAAAGAAGUGAGAAAAUGUCAUUCAAGAAAACUUUCCUGGCUUGGGUGGACAUAGCCAAAGCAGAUUUGAAUAUCUGUCUUUGCAAUCAAAAUUUAUACCAGGAAGCUCUAAUGAAAAUGGUGUCACUCAACAAAUCUAUAUGUAAAUUCAUUCUAAACAAUUAAUUGCCAACAUCUGGAACAUGAUUAAUUUCCUUUCAUUAUUUGCAACAUACAUAAUGAAAUUAAGAAAUUAUAACUUAGGUUAGCCUGUUGUGAAGAG